rfam:Schistosoma curassoni strain Dakar, Senegal genome assembly, scaffold: SCTD_scaffold0000029
AUCCAGCUGACGAGUCCCAAAUAGAACGGAACGCGUGUUCUGGAU